CCCAUUCGCCUCUUGUCUUACUGUUUGUACAAUGAAGGCUCUCUUCCUUCCAGAAAGCAAGCAAGCAAGGGUGCGAAGGCUGCCAGUUUUCUGGUGCUGUGAUUCAGCUCAAGAUUGGACCUCACCUACGGACCCCCACCAUCCCCACCCAGGGAGGGGAGCCAUAUUCGGUGACUUGAGGAUCCUUUGGCAUUCCUCUUUGAAGAGCCUGACCUUUUCUACCAGCUCGCAACAGAUGUUUCAUCUGAUUUGGCCGGAACAAAGCCAAAAAGAGUCCUUGAGAGAUUUUUAGUCCCUGACUCACUCCACUCAGGAGGUUUAUGAUCGCCUCUCAGUUAUUCAGCAAUGACUAAUAUUCGUCCGUCUUGAGCGAAAGGAGAACUGGCAACGCUGAACUUUACCAGAGCCUUGUGCUCCAGAAAGACAGCAAUGGUUACAGAUAUCUGCCCACAUUUUUGCAGCAGCUCCCCUCUCCUUCUUGCAAUAAUCCUUUUGAAUAAAGU